rnacentral:antisense_RNA from 2 species
UUUGACGGAGCCCAGCCACAGCGGGCGGUCCUCGGUGUGCUCGCGGCCGUACGUCGCCAGCAGGGCCUGGGCCUC